rnacentral:rRNA from 1 species
UACGUAGGUGGCAAGCGUUGUCCGGAAUCAUUGGGCGUAAAGAGCGUGUAGGCGGCUCGGUAAGUCCGCUGUGAAAGUCCAGGGCUCAACCCUGGAAUGCCGGUGGAAACUGUCGAGCUAGAGUCCGGAAGAGGCGAGUGGAAUUCCUGGUGUAGCGGUGAAAUGCGCAGAUAUCAGGAGGAACACCAAUGGCGAAGGCAGCUCGCUGGGACGGUACUGACGCUGAGACGCGAAAGCGUGGGGAGCGAACAGG